rnacentral:rRNA from 1 species
GACGAACCGUACGAACGUUAUUCGGAAUUACUGGGCUUAAAGGGUGCGUAGGCGGCGCAGUAAGUUGGGCGUGAAAUCCCUCGGCUUAACCGAGGAAUUGCGCCCAAAACUACUGUGCUCGAGGGAGAUAGAGGUGAGCGGAACUUAGGGUGGAGCGGUGAAAUGCGUUGAUAUCCUAAGGAACACCGGUGGCGAAAGCGGCUCACUGGAUCUCUUCUGACGCUGAGGCACGAAAGCUAGGGUAGCAAACGGG